ACGGAAGGCAGCAGUGGGGAAUAUUGGGCAAUGGGGGAAACCCUGACCCAGCAACGCCGCGUGAAGGAAGAAGGUCUUCGGGUUGUAAACUUCUUUUACCAGGGACGAUAAUGACGGUACCUGGAGAAAAAGCGACGGCUAACUACGUGCCAGCAGCCGCGGCAAUACGUAGGUUGCAAGCGUUGUCCGGAUUUACUGGGUGUAAAGGGCGUGUAGGCGGAGCUGCAAGUCAGAUGUGAAAUCCCGGGGCUCAACCCCGGAACUGCAUUUGAAACUGUAGCCCUUGAGUAUCGGAGAGGCAAGCGGAAUUCCUAGUGUAGCGGUGAAAUGCGUAGAUAUUAGGAGGAACACCAGUGGCGAAGGCGGCUUGCUGGACGAUAACUGACGCUGAGGCGCGAAAGCGUGGGGAGCAAACAGGAUUAGAUACCCUGGUA
rnacentral:rRNA from 1 species